rnacentral:rRNA from 1 species
AUACGGAGGGUGCAAGCGUUGUUCGGAAUCACUGGGCGUAAAGGGCGCGCAGGCGGUUUGGUAAGUCAGAUGUGAAAGCCCACGGCUCAACCGUGGAAGUGCAUUUGAAACUGUCAGACUUGAGUACUAGAGGGGAAAGUGGAAUUCCCGGUGUAGAGGUGAAAUUCGUAGAUAUCGGGAGGAAUACCGGUGGCGAAGGCGACUUUCUGGCUAGAUACUGACGCUGAGGCUCGAAAGCGUGGGGAGCAAACAGGAUUAGAUACCCUAGUAGUCC